AAGGGCCAUCUGCAUUGCCACCUUCCCUUUAGUUGAGGUCAAAUAUGCAUGCUGGGUCAUGAGCUGAAUUUGCCAACUAGAUUAGGUUUGGUGCUUCUGUGGUGUUUGUGCUUCAUUGUGGCUUGGCAUAUUGUAGUUGUGGCAUGGUGUUGAAGUGGCCAUGUGUGCUUGAGUAGCAUGUAGUUACUAGGUGUUUAGCACAAAAAAUAAGUACGUGUUCUGUCCUGCUUUAUUCCUGCACAGAGGAAACCAGACGAUGAGAGUCCAAAAAAGGACAGUGAUGCUAAAAAGACUAAACAGGAGACCUCAGUUAAUGGCAGCGGUGACUCCGCCCACAACGGCAAUGGAGUCCAGGAGAAAAUGGAGCAGGAGCCAGCCAGUUCUUCUGUGGAGACAUCAGCGUGAUGGGCGUCUUUUGAUUAACCACUUGCCUUCCAACCAGCAGAGCAUGCCUGCCUCAUAGUCUCCAUGAACAACUUUUGUCUCUGUUUUGUAAAUAACCAGUUUUCUUUGUUCAAUUUUUGUAUAAUUGUAGUAAACUUUCAAUAAAGGAUAUUUGCAUAUGUCAAUGUGGCUUUCAAUAUUACCUUUUUAAGAAUUCUCUGCUUCAAAUAGAGACCGCUCCAGUGGAAUCGUGGAGAUUCAGUGGGCAAAAACUUGUUGGUUCCCAUGAUGGGAUAAUGGCUAUAAUAUUAUUUGUAAGAUGUUUCAAGUAUUUUUGACUUGGUGUGACUAUUAUAAAGCUUUUAAUACAAACUUGUUGACCAAAAAAAAAAAAAAAACUCAUAUGCAAUAGUAAAAAAAGCAAGUAAUUUACUAGUAUCUUAAAAUUCAUCAUAACAGAUGUAAGACAAAAAUGUAGUCACUUGAAAAAUUGUUUACAUUUACAACAGGCUUUGUAAGGCAAUCCAACUUAUGCAUUAAAUGGGAUUAUGCAAUUUUCUUCUAACUGGUCUCUUCCACAUGAUCUGUGGCAGUGAUGAAGGCAAUGGAUUGGAUGAGGGUUGCAAUGUAUUACAUUCUUGGUUUGCCAGGAUUGUGUCUGAGAUCACCUAAACAAGACAAAUUCAAUGCUGUAAGCUUAUCUAAAGCUUUGUAAAACUUGACUAUUAAAAGAGCAGAAGGGAAACCGCCAGGGACCACUGUUAACCUGGUUGUGCUGAUCAGUGAGAUCAAGCUUAGCCUAGCCCAAAGUCCCCAAGCCCUCAGUUUCAUGGUUAAACAAAUCCAGACCUUUAGAAGUCUGGAUCUCUUUGACCAAAGAGAGAUCUGGAGAUGGCUGUAUUCUGAAAUAAAACAACUUCAAUAGCGUAAACGCGUAUCAGUGUGUCCAUAUUUAUCUCUGAACAAGCUAACUUGGCACAGGUUGCUUAACAGCCAGUAUUGCAUAGUUUCCAGGACUCUUGGACAGUAAUGUUCCUGCAGGGUGGCAUUGGUCUGUCCCAACUUCUGCUCAUUAAAAUAUAACCCUGCCAAUAAACGCAUUGAUUUCAAAGGAUCUUCAACACCCAUCACCAGGUCAUAGAAGAACACAAAGCCAGCCCUGUACAAACACAUUCAGCUGAACUUGAGUCAUAUUGUCAUGUAUUUAGUGUGAUGUGCUUGCAUCUAUAGGGACUAUAUGAGAAAAAGAAAAAGGUACCCCCUUUGUCUCCAUAGAGCGAUUGUGUCUUUUAGGUCUGUACCAAUGCAGAAUUUGGCCUUGUGUUUAUACAAGAGCGCAGUAGAAUGGAAUAUUAUCUUACAGUAUUGACAAAUUAACUCCCCCAAACCUUCCAUCUCUCCAGCAGUUACCCUGUAGAAUAUAAGAUCCCCCCCCCCCAUUUAAACUGGGUUGAUUCUUAAAAAUAGGAAUAUACUUUUUGUUAGAAUGUCUACUGUAACUUUUAUGUAGUGCAUUUGUUGACUGAAGUCUUGUUUGAUGGUUACAGUCACCUUGGAAAAGGACUGGUGAAGAAUGUAUGAGGUUAGAGCAAGAAGAAUCCAACCCUUCAAUGUUUAAAUGCUUAUUUUUAUCCUUUGCAUGCAUAUUUUGAACAUUACCAUUUGCCCUCCUAAAACAUGAAGAAUGUUUUCCAAAGUGUUUCAGCAGAAAACGAAAGGCUGGACAUGUUUGGCAAACUGAUGCAAAAUAUUUAUUACAAUUCUUUUCUCCGAUCUUUUCAUUAUGAUGCAGUAGUUUAUGUCUGCUUCUUCUCAUACAGAUAAACCCAUACAUGACACCUUUUAUCUUCUCAAAGCUGUAAAUAAUGUUAUCAAAAUAAUCUUAAUCUUCCAAAACUCACUAUUUUUUUAUUCUUUAUAUUUUUUUACUAAUUCCACCCUGAAUAUCAAGGCUGCAGAACUAAUAUAAUGACAAACAAGAAAAAAACUAAUAGUGGGAAGUUUUUACUAGACUAGUACCAAAUUAAAAAAAGAAAACUUAAAUACUGUGAUAAAGCAGUUUUUAUACCCUAUCAGCAAAAACAAGGUACAAAAAAAGGAGAUGCACAAUUUACACCAGCAGUCCCUCAUGAAACAAAGAACUUUUAAAGAUGGAUCUUUACUUCACUGCCAGCAGCAGGAAUAGAACUUGGCGUCCAAAAUGAACUUCAAAUGAACUAUUUAAAGAACAACAAAACAGAACAAAGCGUGCAAGCCAUCUUACUGAAUCGCUCAAAGUUCACAGUCAUUGUAAACAUUACAUAAGCCCAAUAAUGUUCAAACUGAUGCUAAAAUAUUUAUUACAAUUCUUUUCUCCGAUCUUU
rnacentral:lncRNA from 1 species